rnacentral:lncRNA from 1 species
CAACACAGUCACAAAUAUCUUUAUUUUGAAUUUCUAUUUUGGAUCGGAAAUCAUGGUAACUAGUGAAUUUAAUAGGCGGGCUAGUGUACUUAGGCAGAUAAGAAACCUCAACCAUGUUUUUGCUUUUCAAAUCAGCAACAGUGCCGCACAACCGGAGUUGAAUGGCAUUGAGUUGAAUGGCAUUUUCGAUGAUGUGCCUGUAAUGAUUAUUUUGUUAAUUCCAUUAUAGGCACACGAUAAUUUCUUUAUAAUUUAUACAUUAUAAUUUAUACAUACCGUAUAGCAUCACGAAUGUGACCCUUUGUAGGGUAAGAAAAGCUCCUCCCAUACUGUGCAUUUUGGAGAUGCCUUUCAUUAUGUUACGAGCAUCAUCAAGUGAGUCACAAAUAAUGAUGCUCAUAUUCAUUCUCCCGAGUGCUUUUCUUGUUAAAGAAAGCAAGGGCACAUCCUGUCCAACAAAGCAAACAAAUUCAUUGCAACACAAUUAUUAACAAAAAAAGAAAUUCUGAAAAAUGGUAAGGGUGAUUUAAU